rnacentral:lncRNA from 1 species
GAAUUCAAAAUCUGGCUCCAGAUUUCCUUGUGAACCAGUCUGCUCCUCCGCAUCUCUAGAAAGGGACAGAUUUUGCCUCGUUAAAGGAUGGAUGAUUAGACUGGUGUAAAAGUCUCUGGGAUGUGACAUAAAUGCUGUUCUCCUGUGCUGUAAAUGAUACCUGAGGCUUGACAUCUAUGCAGUCUCCAAAGACAGAAUCUAAAAAGUAAAACCUACAAGCUCAGGUAAGCUCAGGUGAACUCAGCUGCUAAUAUGCAGAAAUAAGCUGGUUUUACCAUAAUUUUAU